rnacentral:rRNA from 1 species
GACGAACGCUGGCGGCGUGCUUAACACAUGCAAGUCGAACGGAAAGGCCCUGCUUUUGUGGGGUGCUCGAGUGGCGAACGGGUGAGUAACACGUGAGUAACCUGCCCUUGACUUUGGGAUAACUUCAGGAAACUGGGGCUAAUACCGGAUAGGAGCUCCUGCUGCAUGGUGGGGGUUGGAAAGUUUCGGCGGUUGGGGAUGGACUCGCGGCUUAUCAGCUUGUUGGUGGGGUAGUGGCUUACCAAGGCUUUGACGGGUAGCCGGCCUGAGAGGGUGACCGGCCACAUUGGGACGGAGAUACGGCCCAGACUCCUACGGGAGGCAGCAGUGGGGGAUAUUGCACAAUGGGCGGAAGCCUGAUGCAGCAACGCCGCGUGCGGGAUGACGGCCUUCGGGUUGUAAACCGCUUUCGCCUGUGACGAAGCGUGAGUGACGGUAAUGGGUAAAGAAGCACCGGCUAACUACGUG